UUUCGGUUGGGGAUGGGCUCGCGGCCUUAUCAGUUUGUUGGCGAGGUAAUGGCUCACCAAGACGACGACGGGUAGCCGGCCUGAGAGGGCGACCGGCCACACUGGGACUGAGACACGGCCCAGACUCCUACGGGAGGCAGCAGUGGGGAAUAUUGCACAAUGGGGGAAACCCUGAUGCAGCGACGCAGCGUGCGGGAUGACGGCCUUCGGGUUGUAAACCGCUUUCAGCAGGGAAGAAGCCCUUCGGGGUGACGGUACCUGCAGAAGAAGUACCGGCUAACUACGUGCCAGCAGCCGCGGUAAUACGUAGGGUACAAGCGUUGUCCGGAAUUAUUGGGCGUAAAGAGCUCGUAGGUGGUUGGUCACGUCUGCUGUGGAAACGCAACGCUUAACGUUGCGCGUGCAGUGGGUACGGGCUGACUAGAGUGCAGUAGGGGAGUCUGGAAUUCCUGGUGUAGCGGUGAAAUGCGCAGAUAUCAGGAGGAACACCGGUGGCGAAGGCGGGACUCUGGGCUGUAACUGACACUGAGGAGCGAAAGCAUGGGGAGCGAACAGGAUUAGAUACCCUGGUAGUCCAUGCCGUAAACGUUGGGCACUAGGUGUGGGGGACAUUCCACGUUCUCCGCGCCGUAGCUAACGCAUUAAGUGCCCCGCCUGGGGAGUACGGUCGCAAGGCUAAAACUCAAAGGAAUUGACGGGGGCCCGCACAAGCGGCGGAGCAUGCGGAUUAAUUCGAUGCAACGCGAAGAACCUUACCAAGGCUUGACAUACACCAGACCGUUCUGGAAACAGUUCCUCCCCUUUGGGGUUGGUGUACAGGUGGUGCAUGGUUGUUGUCAGCUCGUGUCGUGAGAUGUUGGGUUAAGUCCCGCAACGAGCGCAACCCUCGUUCUAUGUUGCCAGCACGUGAUGGUGGGAACUCAUAGGAGACUGCCGGGGUCAACUCGGAGGAAGGUGGGGAUGACGUCAAAUCAUCAUGCCCUUUAUGUCUUGGGCUUCACGCAUGCUACAAUGGCUGGUACAGAGAGAUGCGAGACCGUGAGGUUUUAGCGAAUCCCUUAAAGCCAGUCUCAGUUCGGAUCGUAGUCUGCAAUUCGACUACGUGAAGUCGGAGUCGCUAGCAAUCGCAGAUCAGCAACG
rnacentral:rRNA from 1 species